rnacentral:rRNA from 1 species
GAUGAACGCUGGCGGCGUGCCUAACACAUGCAAGUCGAACGAGAAGCUAACCUCUGAUUCCUUCGGGGAGAUGAAGUUGGUAGAAAGUGGCGAACGGGUGAGUAACGCGUGGGUAAUCUACCCUGUUAGUGGGGGAUAACCCUCCGAAAGGAGGGCUAAUACCGCAUAAGGUCUUCACUUCUUAAGAAGUAAAGAUUAAAGAUGGCCUCUAUACUAUGCUAUCGCUUCAGGAUGAGCCCGCGUCCUAUUAGUUAGUUGGUGGGGUAAUGGCCUACCAAGACCACAAUGGGUAGCCGGUCUGAGAGGAUGUACGGCCACACUGGGACUGAGAUACGGCCCAGACUCCUACGGGAGGCAGCAGUGGGGAAUAUUGCGCAAUGGGGGAAACCCUGACGCAGCGACGCCGCGUGGAUGAUGAAGGCCUUUGGGUUGUAAAAUCCUGUUCUGGGGGAAGAAACCUUAAGGGUCCAAUAAACCCUUAAGC